GAUGAACGCUAGCGGCAGGCCUAAUACAUGCAAGUCGAACGGUGUAGCAAUACACAGUGGCGCACGGGUGCGUAACACGUAUGCAACCUACCUUACAUUGGGGGAUAGCCUUUCGAAAGGGAGAUUAAUACCGCAUAAGACAGUAACUAGGCAUCUAGUAGCUGUUAAAGAUUUAUCGAUGUAAGCUGGGCAUGCGUCCAAUUAGUUAGUUGGCGAGGUAAUGGCUCACCAAGACGAUGAUUGGUAGGGGAACUGAGAGGUCAAUCCCCCACACUGGCACUGAGAUACGGGCCAGACUCCGACGGGAGGCAGCAGUGAGGAAUUUUGGACAAUGGGCGCAAGCCUGAUUCAGCAAUGCCGCGUGCAGGAAGAAGGCCUUCGGGUUGUAAACUGCUUUUGUACGGAGCGAAAAGGCUCUCUCUAAUACAGGGGGCUCAUGACGGUACCGUAAGAAUAAGCACCGGCUAACUACGUGCCAGCCGCCGCAGUAACAC
rnacentral:rRNA from 1 species